GACUCCACUGCCAAUUGCAGCACCUCUUCGACCUUGUCGACGCUCGGUUGUUCAAGACUUUCUACGAACGUCCGGCCCAAGGUGCCGUAGUCAGAUGUCGCGAGCCUGGAGAGCGCGUCGGCCCGAGCAUUUUUCGCCCUAGGGAUGUGGAAGAUUUCGAAGUACUUGAAGGGUGCCACGAGAUCUUUUACUUUUUGGUGGUAUUUGGCCAUGGUC
rnacentral:lncRNA from 1 species